AGAGACGCCUCUGCUGCUGCUGCUGCUCCGAAGGGCGGCGAAAGAAGGACCCGAGGCCACGGCCCCCCCUCGGGCUAAAUCUCCCCCAGGACUAGUUUCCUUUCUGCACUUUGGUUUCCAAAUUCUUCAAUAUCCACUCCAGAAGCGACUCGAGUUGCUCCUGACACGGAAAAAAAAAUCCACGAGAUGCUGGUUUGUUUCUCAUCACGGCAGGGGUGGCUCCAUAGGACCCUCAUGUCCCUGGUCAAGAAAGAAGAAGCAAAAGGUUAAACAUGAAGCCUCAAACCUCCUUUGCCUCCAACAUUAUCCUCUUUUCCCUUCAUGGAUCAUGCUGAAAAUGGAAAUACCAAGAAAUAGAGGCAUGAAGUGUCUUCUCAAGGAUGAACACAUAAACCUUAAAAAGCCAUCACAGAUUGAUAAACAAGGAACAGAUUCAGACGCUCUAAGAAAAUAUAACAGAGACAAAAGUUGGUCCCGAUUCAAAGGUUAUUCAAUAAACACAUGGUACGCCCUCCCAGAGAGAUCAGGCAAGGCCCUGCACUGUGCUCCUUCCACAAGGAACGGAAAACCUGGUGCUUCCUACAGGUUUUCGAGCAGGAUUAUUCCCUCGGCCCCCCGGUUGUCAGCUGGGACCCUGCCCUGCCCUUUAUCCACUUCCCGGCCCUAUGAUGUUCUGGUGCCCCAGUCUUUGCCUAGCCCUCAUCGUUGGCCAUGUCCAUUCUGACAUUGAUAUUUUGAACCCGUUAAUGGAACAUUCUGAAACUGGAUUUUAAUUUUUGUGAUGGUUUUAGCAGAUUUGUAUUUUCUUGUUUUAUUAUGUUUUAUUUAUUUAUUUAUUUAUUUACAUCACCUUUACCCCGCCUUUCUCUCCGAGGAGACUCAAAGCGGCUUACAGUAAAUGGCAAAAAUUCAAUGCCUAAAAACAAUGUAAAAACAACAAUUCAUCUAAAACAAUCUACAAAACAACAGUUCAUAUAAAACAGAUACCAUUACAAAAUAAAAUCACAUUAUAUAAAAUUUUAAGAAUGUCCAAGAUUAAAAUCCAUUCAUCCAGAAACCUCAUACAACCUUUUGUUGUAUAUUUCCUUCUGGCAACUGAAUGUUUGCUUUAUAUUGGAAACUGCCCUGAGUCCUCUUGAGGAGAUGGGGCGGUAUAUAAAUAAAGGUUUGUAUUUUAUUGUAUGACACAACAAAUAAGAUAGACAUGCUGGAUUUCAUAUCACAAAAUCACAAGUCGAACACUUCCCAAGCGUUUAGGACUGUGUGAUGUAUUUUCGGAUGAUGCGUGCAGAUCCCAGUCGGGUGGCCCUUUGCAGGCGGCAGAUCGUGAUUUUGUCAAUGUCUAUUAUUAUUGUUACAAAGGCUGGACAUCCAUCUGUUGGGAGUGGGGUUGAUUGUGCCUUCUGUGCAUGGAGGCGGAAGAAGGGGGUUGGGCUGGAAGGUCCUGGGGAUUGCUCCUAUUACUGUUGUUGUUGUUGUUGUUGUUAUUAUUAUUACAAAGGCUGGACGGCCACUUGUUUGGGGGGGGGCUUUGAUUGCAUUCCCCCUGCAUGGAUUGUGUGAUGCCUCAUGGGUUUUGUAGUCCUGUGCCUAGUGUCACCGUGACAGAUGAGGAUGAAAACAUGCGGUUUUCACAGCCAGAGCCAGAGUUUUUCCAGAUGCCUGAGGUUCUUGUCCAAGAACCAAUUAAAACUGACCUUGAUCAACGCUCACCUCCCUUCGCUAGAAAGCAAUCCUUCUCGGCAGAUAGGGGAGUGAGAGAGAAAAUUCGGAGGAGUGCCCGAAUUGCUGCCAAGCAAGAGACUGAGUAGCCAUGUUUCCCCUGGGAAAAUCCAGAGAGUCUCACACCUGCAAGUUGGGUUUCGUUCCCUGUUCUCUAGGGAAAGAGAACGCUGGACGCCCGUUUGGCGGGAAAUGAGACCCAGAUAAAAGUAUCGGGCUCUGUUGAUUCUUUGCGGAGACAACAGCUCAGCUUCGGGAGUGAAUUCCAUGUUUCCAGCCUAGUGUGGACUUCGCUAAGUCCGCAAUCCAGUUUCCUUGCCUCACCUGUUCAAGUCUCCAAGAAUUGCCUUGCUGUGUUUUUAGCCACGGAUUUUGUUCUUAGAAUCAAGUUGUUAGACUACCUUGCCUCGUUUUGAACCACGGACCUUGUUUCCUAGAUUCAAGCCUUGUUCCCAGCUUCCUUGUGGAUUUACCUUGUGCCUUGAAAGACUUUGGACAAUUCCCCUCACUAUUGCCUGGCAAUAGUGAGUGUUUCGGUAUUGGAUUUUAUCUUUGAACUCUAAUAUCAUUUAUUGGACAAACUAUUCCUGGACUAUUUUAGACCUCAUUUGAAAGGUCUGUUUCUGGACUAUAUUCUCUACUUGCUUUUAUCCUUCUUAUAUAUUUCCUUAAUAAAGAUAUUAGAUAGUUUUA